UGGUUUAUAUUAUUUUAAGCAAAUGCCAAAGGCAUACACUACUUUAGAGUUUUGCUCAUUAUUUAGUAAGAAAUAUGUAUUUUGUGUAAAUUAACUGAUAGCAAUGUUAAUGACAUGUUAAGUAAUAUUAAGUAAUGUUCCUAUUUUAUAGAAAGGUUUAAGAGUAUGGAAAAACCAAAUCUCUGAGAGAUGCAACCAGAAGACGGAUGAGAAACAUACUUGAGGCUGAGAUGACAGAAUGACAUGGGACAUCUCCCCCUAAAAGUGUAAGAGUGAUGUAUGCGCAGGGCAUUGUUGCUCUGUCUCCAUAUCUGGAAGACCCAUAUUCACAACAUGGAUAUAAACAUUACUACGAUCCAGAGAACAGUUCAGGAUACAUUGCAUGGCAGUUGAAGACCAUUCAAAGAAAAGCUGUGGAGGAAAGAAGCGUCUCAGUUUGCAAAUCUCCCAAAAAUAGAACAAGAUUUCCGACUCCUGUUUUGUGAGGUCACUGGGAGCAAAUUCUUGGAGAGGUGGCUCACCAAUCUCAAAGCAAAGGUUGUAAAGGAAAGUCAUGGACUUGUCCCCACCUCAGAGUUCUUGGAGUUAAUGUGCAAUGCUGAGUCAGGCUGGGACAGUGACUUGUCUACCAUCUUGCUGCUGCUACAUCUGCUACUACCAUCUGCACAAGGGCGAAAGAGACCAGGAAAGAUGUCUGCAUCUCAAGCUGUCAAUAACCUCAUCAAAUUCCCAAAGGCUGGAACCAGUGUACAGCAGCAUCUAGACAACAUCACCCGAAGCAGUCAGCCCUACCAUCUUACUCAGGGAUCCACAAGAAGCAGCAUUCACAGCUUCAUUGUAAUUGAGAAGCAUGCACUUCCAUGUAAUGCGACAGGUUCUGUAGGAGCCCUUGAUGAACUCUUUAGGGCCCAUUAUGUCUUUGGUACAUCAUACAGUUCAUCCCUGACCAACUUUGUUACUUUUCUGCAACUACGACAUUGGGGAAAUGUCAUAUUGCUUUCUCUAGUGAGCAUCAUAGAACUGUGAAUUGUAAAGGUUUGUUACGUUAAUUAAAUGACACUGAAUUGAGAAAAAUAAUAAAUGCUGUUACUUUAACCUGUAUAUUUGUUAUUUCCAUAAUGUAGGAUAGAUCAGUUAUUUAGUAAUAUAGCAUCAUAAGAUGAA